rnacentral:rRNA from 1 species
GCCAGAGGAGGCGAGGGUUAUCCGGAGUCAUUGGGCGUAAAGGGUACGUAGGCGGCUAGUCAAGUCUGAGGUUAAAGACCACAGCUUAACUGUGGAAAGGCCUUGGAAACUGACUGGCUAGAGUGGGGCAGGGGUUGCGGGAAUUCCCGGUGUAGCGGUGAAAUGCGUAGAUAUCGGGAAGAACACCUGAGGCGAAAGCGCGCAACUGGGCCCUAACUGACGCUGAGGUACGAAAGCUAGGGGAGAGAAUGGG